rnacentral:rRNA from 1 species
UGGGGAAUAUUGGACAAUGGGCGAAAGCCUGAUCCAGCCAUGCCGCGUGUGUGAAGAAGGUCUUCGGAUUGUAAAGCACUUUAAGUUGGGAGGAAGGGCAUUAACCUAAUACGUUAGUGUUUUGACGUUACCGACAGAAUAAGCACCGGCUAACUCUGUGCCAGCAGCCGCGGUAAUACAGAGGGUGCAAGCGUUAAUCGGAAUUACUGGGCGUAAAGCGCGCGUAGGUGGUAUGUUAAGUUGGAUGUGAAAUCCCCGGGCUCAACCUGGGAACUGCAUUCAAAACUGACUGACUAGAGUAUGGUAGAGGGUGGUGGAAUUUCCUGUGUAGCGGUGAAAUGCGUAGAUAUAGGAAGGAACACCAGUGGCGAAGGCGACCACCUAGACUAAUACUGACACUGAGGUGCGAAAGCGUGGGGAGCAAACA